rnacentral:rRNA from 1 species
AGAACGAACGCUGGCGGCAUGCCUAACACAUGCAAGUCGAACGAGACCUUCGGGUCUAGUGGCGCACGGGUGCGUGACGCGUGGGAACCUGCCUUUAGGUUCGGAAUAACUCAGAGAAAUUUGAGCUAAUACCGGAUAAUGUCUUCGGACCAAAGAUUUAUCGCCUUUAGAUGGGCCCGCGUUGGAUUAGCUAGUUGGUGGGGUAAAGGCCUACCAAGGCGACGAUCCAUAGCUGGUCUGAGAGGAUGAUCAGCCACAUUGGGACUGAGACACGGCCCAAACUCCUACGGGAGGCAGCAGUGGGGAAUAUUGGACAAUGGGCGCAAGCCUGAUCCAGCCAUGCCGCGUGAGUGAUGAAGGUCUUAGGAUUGUAAAGCUCUUUCACCGAUGAAGAUAAUGACGGUAGUCGGAGAAGAAGCCCCGGCUAACUUCGUG